CCCCUGGGCAAAGGGCACCAGGGUCCAAGAAGGACACGGGGCCAGCGGCAGGUGAGACACCGGCCUGCAGAGAAUGCUCUGGGCUAGAAGAGCUAAUUCCGAGGAUGACCAGCAGGAGGCGCUGCAUCUAUAUUUGCCUCCAAAUUAAUCAAUCCUGCACUGGCAAAGGGGACAAGAUGUCUUAACAGAUGUUUUCUUUAAUAUCUCUGAUUCUAGUCAUCCAAGUGGACUGUCCUGGAAUUUACAUAAGAAAACAGGUUUUCCAAAACUGAAUAUGUUCUUUCACAUAUGCUAUCCAAUUGUAAUUCAAGAAAUUGGAGUGAGACAGAAAAUGCUGCUCCUAUAAUUCCACAAACGGAAAGAAGGUACCAAUGUGAGAUUUCUAAAGAUAGCUACAGC